AUGAACGCUAGCUACAGGCUUAACACAUGCAAGUCGAGGGGCAGCAUUUUAGUUUGCUUGCAAACUGAAGAUGGCGACCGGCGCACGGGUGAGUAACACGUAUCCAACCUACCGAUAACUCCGGAAUAGCCCUUCGAAAGAAAGAUUAAUACCGGAUAGCAUACGAAUAUCGCAUGAUAUUUUUAUUAAAGAAUUUCGGUUAUCGAUGGGGAUGCGUUCCAUUAGUUUGUUGGCGGGGUAACGGCCCACCAAGACUACGAUGGAUAGGGGUUCUGAGAGGAAGGUCCCCCACAUUGGAACUGAGACACGGUCCAAACUCCUACGGGAGGCAGCAGUGAGGAAUAUUGGUCAAUGGGCGAGAGCCUGAACCAGCCAAGUAGCGUGAAGGAUGAAGGCUCUAUGGGUCGUAAACUUCUUUUAUAUGGGAAUAAAGUUUUCCACGUGUGGAAUUUUGUAUGUACCAUAUGAAUAAGGAUCGGCUAACUCCGUGCCAGCAGCCGCGGUAAUACGGAGGAUCCGAGCGUUAUCCGGAUUUAUUGGGUUUAAAGGGAGCGUAGGUGGAUUGUUAAGUCAGUUGUGAAAGUUUGCGGCUCAACCGUAAAAUUGCAGUUGAAACUGGCAGUCUUGAGUACAGUAGAGGUGGGCGGAAUUCGUGGUGUAGCGGUGAAAUGCUUAGAUAUCACGAAGAACUCCGAUUGCGAAGGCAGCUCACUAGACUGUCACUGACACUGAUGCUCGAAAGUGUGGGUAUCAAACAGGAUUAGAUACCCUGGUAGUCCACACAGUAAACGAUGAAUACUCGCUGUUUGCGAUAUACAGUAAGCGGCCAAGCGAAAGCAUUAAGUAUUCCACCUGGGGAGUACGCCGGCAACGGUGAAACUCAAAGGAAUUGACGGGGGCCCGCACAAGCGGAGGAACAUGUGGUUUAAUUCGAUGAUACGCGAGGAACCUUACCCGGGCUUAAAUUGCAACAGAAUAUAUUGGAAACAGUAUAGCCGUAAGGCUGUUGUGAAGGUGCUGCAUGGUUGUCGUCAGCUCGUGCCGUGAGGUGUCGGCUUAAGUGCCAUAACGAGCGCAACCCUUAUCUUUAGUUACUAACAGGUUAUGCUGAGGACUCUAGAGAGACUGCCGUCGUAAGAUGUGAGGAAGGUGGGGAUGACGUCAAAUCAGCACGGCCCUUACGUCCGGGGCUACACACGUGUUACAAUGGGGGGUACAGAAGGCGGCUACCUGGUGACAGGAUGCUAAUCCCAAAAACCUCUCUCAGUUCGGAUCGAAGUCUGCAACCCGACUUCGUGAAGCUGGAUUCGCUAGUAAUCGCGCAUCAGCCAUGGCGCGGUGAAUACGUUCCCGGGCCUUGUACACACCGCCCGUCAAGCCAUGAAAGCCGGGGGUACCUGAAGUACGUAACCGCAAGGAGCGUCCUAGGGUAAAACUGGUAAUUGG
rnacentral:rRNA from 1 species